rnacentral:rRNA from 1 species
GCCAGACUCCUACGGGAGGCAGCAGUGGGGGAUAUUGCACAAUGGGGGGAACCCUGAUGCAGCGACGCCGCGUGGGUGAAGAAGCGCCUCGGCGCGUAAAGCCCUGUCAGCAGGGAAGAAAAUGACGGUACCUGAAGAAGAAGCCCCGGCUAACUACGUGCCAGCAGCCGCGGUAAUACGUAGGGGGCAAGCGUUAUCCGGAUUUACUGGGUGUAAAGGGUGCGUAGGUGGUUUCUUAAGUCAGAGGUGAAAGGCUGCGGCUCAACCGUAGUAAGCCUUUGAAACUGGGGAACUUGAGUGCAGGAGAGGAGAGGGGAAUUCCUAGUGUAGCGGUGAAAUGCGUAGAUAUUAGGAGGAACACCAGUUGCGAAGGCGGCUCUCUGGACUGUAACUGACACUGAGGCACGAAAGCGUGGGGAGCAAACAGGAUUAGAUACCCGCGUA